rnacentral:rRNA from 1 species
GAUAACAAUGGGAGAGAGAGCGAGGGAAUAAUGAGGUCCCAAGCGGUGUGAGGAGUCAGAGGGAGUAAAGGUGGCGUAGGCGGUGGGGUAAGUCGGAUGGGAAAUCCCGCAGCUUAACUGCGGAACGUGAUUGGAUACGAGCCGGCUGGAGGAGUGGAGGGGAGACUGGAAUUCUCGGUGUAGCAGUGAAAUGCGUAGAUAGCGAGAGGAACACCGGUGGCGAAGGCGAGUCUCUGGACACUUCCUGACGCUGAGGCACGAAAGCCAGGGGAGCAAACGGGAUUAGAUACCCCUGUAGUC